GGUGGCUCAGUGGUAGAGCACUUGCCUUGCAUGCAUGAGGCUCUGGGUUCGAUUACCCCAGCACCA
rnacentral:tRNA from 1 species